UACACUAAUUUCAGGUAAAUUUAAUCCCUAAAUUACACAAAUAUUACAUAAAAGUGUCCCUGAAACUUUCUUUCAUGUAAAUGACACGCUUUCGUUGAAAAUGUACUUUAUAGAAAUGGUUAGUGUCUUCAGAAAAAGUCUGUUAGCAUCUCAACCGUAAUGCUAACUACAAGAGUUAUUUUGAUGUCCACACUAUUGUUUAUGUUCUAGAUUCUUCCAUGCUGAUGGCCGUGCGUGUAUCCAGCUGAAGAACAUUUUUAGACAUUAUGACACAUAUGACUAAGUUUAGCUCCAACCCCAGUGAAGCAGACCUGAGCAGCUGAUGAAGGAUCAGCAGAAACUCUGCAGAACGGUGGUCCUCCAGCCCAGGACUGGACACCAGUGUUAUGCUGGAGAUAAAACAGCGAGGCUAAAGCAUUCAAAGUGGAAACAUCUGGCGUGGUUCAUUAAUCCAGAAUUGGGAUGGAGGAAGGAGCAGAAGAAGCAGAAGAACAGAGAUCAGGCAGAGAUCUACUGGUGCCCAUUUACCAAAUGUGUUAGUUAAACCAAAGAGUUUCCUAUCUCACCUUCAUGUUGUUCCAAGCCAGACUUUUGUUCAUCUUUGAAACAUAAAUGCAGAACUUUUUAAUGAAAUCUGAGAAAUGUUUUUAUUUAUAAAAUAACGCAUUCACAAGAGCACCAUGAUGCAUCAGUGUUGCAUUGGCGUGAGAGCUGGCGCUUUUGCUGCUUUUGUGAAAAUCCAUUGAGGAUUCAUAAUUUCUGAAUAGAUUUUUUUUUUGCUGUUAUUGUUGUUUUUUGCGUACACAAGACAUCUGUUAAAAAAAUAUCUUAAUUUGUGUUGUGCACAAAGGGUGUUAUGGGUUUGGGGCAACAUGAGGGUAAGUAAUCAAUGACAGAAUUUACAUUUUUGGUUGUUCUAAUGUGGUUAUUAUUGGUCAUAGUUUAUUGUCGUGAAAAAUUAUAUUUAUACAGAAAGAUGGAUUAAUUUGAUAAGUUUAUAGUAAAGACUUUUAAAUUGAUAAAAAAAAUCAAAAUAAAUACUACUCUUUUGCAAGGUCUAUUAAAACAAUACUGAUAAAUGUAAUGGUUUCCACAAAAUAUUGUGCAGCACAACUGUUUUAAACAUUGAUAAUAAUCAGAAAUGUUUCUUGAGCAGCAAAUCAGUAUAUUAUAAUGAUUUCUGAAGAUCAUGUAACACUGAAGACUGGAGUAAUUGUGUUAAAAAUACAGUUUACAAGCAUAAAUUACAUUUUACAAUGCAUCCACAUAGAAAACAAUUAUGUAUGUAGUUAUAUUUCACAAUAUCACUGUUUUUACGGUCUGUUUAAUCAAAGGAGGUUUAAGAUGUGAUCAAGAAUUUACAUGAAAGAUGUAAUGUGUCAAUAAAUGUGUCAAUAUAC